UACGAAGGGAGCGAGCGUUGUUCGGAAUCACUGGGCUUAAAGCGUGCGUAGGUGGAUUGGUAAGUAAGGAGUGAAAGCCCCGGGCUUAACCUGGGAACUGCGUUUGAUACGGAUGGGCUAGAGUUCGGGAGAGGAGAGUGGAAUUCCCAGUGUAGAGGUGAAAUUCGUAGAUAUUGGGAAGAACACCGGUGGCGAAGGCGGCUCUCUGGACCGAUACUGACGCUGAGGCGCGAAAGCGUGGGGAGCAAACGGG
rnacentral:rRNA from 1 species